rnacentral:piRNA from 1 species
AUGCCACAAACCUAGUAGGGACUUGUUCUCU